CUCCUGCGCCCGCAGGAGGGAGGCGGAAGCACAGCCCUGCGCCGCCAGCAGGAGGAGGGAGUGCGGCGGCUGCAGGCAGGGGAGGGGGGAAAGAACGGAGGGACGGUUCCCGGACAGAGCGGGAGGAAUCGGGGAGCGGCCGGUCCGGGGGGAGCUGCUCCGCUGCGCUGCGGUCGUUAUUCACAGGACGCGGCGGCGCUUCCCGGGGCCGCUUCCCGGUCCCCUGGGUGGAGGCUGCCGUCUAAACCUGACUCCAGAGUUUAAGAUGCAAUGGCCAGAAGACAUGAGCGUGUCACUAGAAGGAUGUGCACGUGGGCUCCGGGGCUGUUGAUGAUGACGGUGGUCUUUUGGGGUCAUCUGGGGAAUGGACAAGGCCAAGAUGGAGUUUUGCUCUCAUUGCCCAGGCUGCAGUGCAAUGUCAUGGUCUCGGCUCACACAACCUCCGACUCCCGGGUUCAUGUGAUUCUCCUGCCUCCACCUCCUGAGUAGCUGGGAUGACAGUUCUGGGGCUGAGAAGUCCGAAAUCAAGGCAGUGGAGAUUUGGCAGUUGGUCCCGAGGCGGCACCUUCUUGCUUCGUCUUCACGUGACAAAAGUGGGCAAAAACGGACAACGUAACGACAUGGCAGAAGAGACUGAGGAGCCCGGCAUUCCUCUAAAGCAUCUUUUACGAGGACGUUUAUCUCAUUCAUGAGGGUGGAUCCUUCUUCACUUAAUCACUUAACCAAAAGCCCCAUCUCUUGAUGUCAUUGUCCUGGGAUUUUAGUUUCAACAUACAAACUUUGGAUGGGCACAUAGGUUCAAAUCAUAGCACCCUCCAAAUUAUAAUGCCUCUCUCAUGCCUGUUCUCCUUGAAGUACCCUCUGGUUUUGCUCUCUUCAUUCUUGCCAUCACAGUUAACCCUUCAGUUCCAUUUCUUUAAGUAAUCUCUAAAUUUGUAAGAUGGUUCCAUCUUUUUUUUUUGUAUAUGGCAGUCUGUCAAACAUAUUUGUCAUAUGAACUAAGCAGGUAAAUAUGUAAAUGCCAGCUAAAUUUUAGUGAAUGAUAUAAUGGCCUAAAGUUGUAUCUACCCUUCAGCCAAAUAUAUUUACUUUUAGUAGCAAUCUCCUGUCAUAUACAAAGUCACGACUCUAGGGGUAAACAUUUUAGCCUGUGGGUAAGAUGUAAAGCAGUGGUAUGUUAUAGUGACAACUCACUGUCAUAGCACUGGGACAUGCUCCUCUAUCUGCUACAAAUUGAAUCAACAAAAUAUAUAUGAUUUUGUCAGAUUUAAAUGUAUGCUCCUGUUAGUAAAAUAAAAGUAUGGGAAAACUUUACGGAGUAGAUUUAAUAGAAAUGUUUUCCUGAGUUAUCUGCCUUCUUUAUUUUUAUGUUAUGCUUUAAGUCUAUGGUCAAUGUAUAGAGCUAUGAUUGAUGUGCUUUUCCAAUUCUGUUCAGAUCAGACAGGUUAAUUUUCUUCUUUUAAAUCUUCUUGAAUUUUGUCUGACACUUUUUGUUCCAAUUUCUUACUAGAUUAUACUCCCUUCCCUAACUGCUUCAUGAUUACUUAUACACAAACAAUAUUAUGAUAUUGACACAUUGAAUUCAUUUUAGGUGAUGAUUUUGGUCAUAAACAUGAGCAGGUUGUGAAGUGUUUCAGCCAUCCCAGGGCAUGGCUGUGAGUCCCUUGUCUAAUGUUUCAAAAAAAUCUUGAAUUUGUGAUGAUGCUGUGAUGGUCCCUCAGAUAUUCUUACACACAUCUUUGCCCCUUGUUCCCUCUAACUUUCCUCUUCUGAUAAAAAAGCAAACACUGCCAAGCUCAAAUGGAAUUACAUUUGGAUGCAAGUGUCACUAUGCAAUGGUUGCCAAUAAAAGUACACAAGGAAUUUUAUUAUGGUGAAUUAAAGGCAAACAGACUUCAGAGAAAUGAGCACGAACAUGAAAAUGGCGCAUGGUACGCGGAUCUCACUGGAAAGUCAUUCGGUACACAAUGUUUUCACUAGAAAAAUCCAUUAGCUUUAGCUAGAAAUUGAAAUUACUUUGUAGGAAAUCAGAAUAAAAUAUGUGAAAACAUUAUAUUCUGUGCAAGACUAAUACCACGCCUGGUGUUGAAAGGUUUGUGGUCUUGCUUCGACGAUGCUAAAAGGUCAGAAACCACAAAGAUGCAUAUGUGUUGUCGUUUGCACAGUUACUGAUUUUUCUCAUUAUUUCCAUAAUGCGAUGUGCUGUUUCAACAGAGAAACCCUCUGGAGAGUGGCUUGCACUGUUUUCAGGCAGCUCUUUUGCUUUCAUGUUUUGGCCUUGGCCAGGGAAUUCAGACAGACUUUUCAGUUAUUUUCGACAAGAAUGUAUUCAUUGAUUGUUUUAAAUAAUAAUAAAUAGAUUUUAAAAUUACUGUACAUUACUGCACUUUAAACGCCAUGAGGUCAAGGACUCUAAAGUCUGGACAUCAUUGUAUACCCUACAUCUUGCACAAGGUUUAGAAAAAAUGGCAUGGACACCUAUUUUUUGAAUCAAUAAAUGAAUACAUAAAAGAAUUCCAAACUCUAGUCCAAGGUUUUAGAUUAAUAAUGUAUUAAAAUGCGUAAAAUUUAUAGACAAAACUCUUCUUAUUUAGAAGUUUAUUCUUUAGUUAGAGAGAUAAAAUAUAUGCACAUAAAAGCUUAAGGAAAAAUAAUAAGGGUUUUGAAGUACUUACUAUGUGAAAAAUUUAGCAUAAAUCUUACAUCCAUUUAUUUAACACAUUUUAUACGUUGCAUUAUUUAUAUAUAGUGCUGAUUGGUAGAAUUCAUAUGUGAACGGAACUAUAAAAAUUUUGAGGAUAAGCACUAGAAACACAGAAUAAAUAGAGUGUUAACAUGCAAAACACAGAAAUACUUAAAUUGACUAGGUGAAAGAAAAGAUUUCUGGUUCCAUGUACACUGAUUAUUGAGGGAUGAGUAUGACAUUAUUAUGCCAGAAUCAAUAAAUAUUUUAAAUAGGGAGAAAACUAUAAUUAUAUAUCUUUGUGUUCAACAGGAGUAGCAGUACUGAUAAAGUAGAAGUUUGUUAUACCUUUUUUAUAGUCUUUUAAAGUUGUUUAUAAAUAAAAUCUACUCUUAGUUAAUUAAUGGUUGAUGUUCAUUGAAGUGUUUUCAAAUUUUUGACCUCUGAAUUGCCUUGUACAUAUGGAGAAAUAAAGCUUGCCUAGCAUAA